rnacentral:lncRNA from 1 species
GCUAGGGUUUAUGGGAGGCUUGUUACUCUGUUGCCUUUGUAAUUUUUUUUUGUUCACAAUAUACAUAAAUAUUAUUUUUUUUGCCUUCGUAUUGAUAUUUUAUAACAUAUGUAUCGUUAUUUUUAUAAAUUUUAAGUUUCAUUUUUUUAUAGUACAAAAAGUACACAUAGAUGUGAAACAUGAGAGAGAGUGAAUCUGCCAAAAUUUGUAUUAUAGUGGGGGUAAUAAUACUCACUUUAUGUAUGAUUUGAUUGCACAUAAAAUAAUAGAAUUACACAUAAAAUUAUAGAAUUGCACAUAAAAUAAUAGGAAAUUAU